GACGAACGCUGGCGGCGUGCUUAACACAUGCAAGUCGAACGGAAAGGCCUGCUUUCCCUUGUGGAUUGCGGGUACUCGAGUGGCGAACGGGUGAGUAACACGUGAGUGAUCUGCCCCCAACUUGGGUAUAAGCCUGGGAAACUGGGUCUAAUUCCCGAUAGGACUGCAGGGUGGUGCCUGUGGUGGAAAACGAUUUUCUAGUGGUUGGGGAUGAGCUCGCGGCCUAUCAGCUUGUUGGUGGGGUAAUGGCCUACCAAGGCGGCGACGGGUAGCCGGCCUGAGAGGGUGGACGGGCACAGUGGGACUGAGAUACGGCCCAGACUCCUACGGGAGGCAGCAGUGGGGAAUAUAGCACAAUGGGCGGAAGCCUGAUGCAGCGACGCCGCGUGGGGGAUGACGGCCUUCGGGUUGUAAACUCCUUUCGACCGCGAGGAAGCCACCUGGUUGGAAGGGUGGUGACGGUAGUGGUAGAAGAAGCACCGGCUAACUACGUG
rnacentral:rRNA from 1 species